AAACUCAAAGGAAUUGACGGGUCCCGCACAAGCAGCGGAGCGUGUAGGUUUAAUUCGAUGAUACACGAAAAACCUUACCCGGGUUUGACAUAUAAGUAGUAGGGAUCUGAAAAGUGACCGACCCUUCGGGGAGCUUAUACAGGUGCUGCAUGGCUGUCGUCAGCUCGUGCCGUGAGGUGUCCGGUUAAGUCCCGGUAACGAGCGCAACCCCCACUGUAUGUUACAAGUGUCAUACGGAACUGCCGGUAUCAAGCCGGAGGAAGGUGGGGAUGACGUCAAGUCAGCAUGGCCUUUAUAUCCGGGGCUACACACACGCUACAAUGGCCAGUACAAUGGGUUGCCAAGCCGCGAGGCGGAGCCAAUCCUAAAAAGCUGGCCUCAGUUCAGAUUGCAGUCUGCAACUCGACUGCAUGAAGUUGGAGUUGCUAGUAACCGCAGGUCAGCAAUACUGGCGGUGAAUACCGUUCCGGGAUU
rnacentral:rRNA from 1 species